UACAGAGGUCCCGAGCGUUGUUCGGAUUCAUUGGGCGUAAAGGGUGCGUAGGCGGUCCGCUAAGUUUGAUGUGAAAUCCCGGGGCUCAACCCUGGAAUUGCAUUGAAUACUGGAGGACUAGAGUACCGGAGAGGAAACUGGAAUUUACGGUGUAGCAGUGAAAUGCGUAGAGAUCGUAAGGAAGACCAGUGGCGAAGGCGAGUUUCUGGACGGUAACUGACGCUGAGGCACGAAGGCCAGGGGAGCAAACGGG
rnacentral:rRNA from 1 species